UACGGAGGGGGCUAGCGUUGUUCGGAAUUACUGGGCGUAAAGCGCACGUAGGCGGACCAUUAAGUCAGGGGUGAAAUCCCGGGGCUCAACCCCGGAACUGCCUUUGAUACUGGCGGUCUUGAGUUCGAGAGAGGUGAGUGGAAUUCCGAGUGUAGAGGUGAAAUUCGUAGAUAUUCGGAGGAACACCAGUGGCGAAGGCGGCUCACUGGCUCGAUACUGACGCUGAGGUGCGAAAGCGUGGGGAGCAAACAGGAUUAGAAACCCCCGUAGUCC
rnacentral:rRNA from 1 species